UCGGAACGGUGGAUGCGGUUGCGACUCGAAAUUGGAACCGUGAUGACUCGAGACAGUAAUGGUGGUUCAGUUGAUGAUUAUCAACGAUGGUGAUUCAUUGAUGGUGGUUCAGUGGUUCAUCGGAGAGAUGAUGUACGAAUGAUUGCGGAGAUGGUUCGGUGAAGACGGAGAUAAUGGUUGUUAACGGAGAUAAACUGUGAACGGUGAUGAUGAAUCAAGGCGACCGGAGGUGAAGAAGGUGAGGUGGUGAACGGAGAUGAAUGAUGGUUGACGGACGUGAAACGGACGUGAAAAGUGAAUAUGAUGAUGACGGUUAAAAUUAUGUGACAGUGAACCGGUGAUCGGAUUAAAAAGGAGAAGGUCGGAGUUGCAGGUAUUGACUAAGAAGAUGAUGAAGUCGAAACCGAACUCGUAGACACCGGUGGAUGAUGAUUGACGUGUGGUUGAGGUGAUCGGAUGUGCAGGUGGCGGAGUGCGGUGUUGGUGUUGCUCGGAGUUGAUUCACAACGGUGAUGGGAAAGUAAUAGUCGAGAUGGAGUGGUGUCGAAGGUGAGUCGGAACUGUGGAUGGAAACAGGAGGUAACAAUGGUGAUGAUGUAACCCGGUUGCGACUCGAGACAACUUGAGACCAAGAUGAGUCGAGAUCUUGAGAGCGGUUGCGAUACUUCC
rnacentral:lncRNA from 1 species